rnacentral:sRNA from 2 species
GAAGAGUUGCAAACUGUGAAGUAACUUCUAUGAAGAGAUGAAGUAAAGAACGGAAGGCAAAUGACUGUGGCAGUAAAGAAGUGUAUGUGCGCUCCAACCUCUCAGGGUGAAAACCGCGACUUCUGGGCGUGCAGGAAAAGCACGCUGGAAUCGAGUGCUG